UGCUUCGAUGGAACGCAAGCGCAGAGUUU
rnacentral:sRNA from 1 species